CAGUCGCCGCGGUAAAACGUAGGUGGCAAGCGUUGUCCGGAAUUAUUGGGCGUAAAGCGCGCGCAGGUGGUUUAAUAAGUCUGAUGUGAAAGCCCACGGCUCAACCGUGGAGGGUCAUUGGAAACUGUUAAACUUGAGUGCAGGAGAGAAAAGUGGAAUUCCUAGUGUAGCGGUGAAAUGCGUAGAGAUUAGGAGGAACACCGGUGGCGAAGGCGGCUUUUUGGCCUGUAACUGACACUGAGGCGCGAAAGCGUGGGGAGCAAACAGGAUUAGAUACCCCCGUAGUCCCUGUCUCUUAUAC
rnacentral:rRNA from 1 species